UAUAACCACCUGCCCCCAGCCUCCCAAA
rnacentral:misc_RNA from 1 species